AACGCACGAGACCUGCGGACCUGCGGAGGGAUCAUUAACAAAUCCAUUGGCGCGCAUCCAAAUGUCUCCAUGCAUUGGGGAUGCAGCGACACAUGUACCGUGUGCACGUUUACUCUGUACACUGUUUACAUUUCUACGAAUCAUCUGAUUGUUUACAAAUUGUGCAAAAUGUCAACUUUCAGCAAUGGAUCUCU
rnacentral:misc_RNA from 1 species